rnacentral:rRNA from 1 species
AGAGUUUGAUCAUGGCUCAGGAUGAACGUUGGCGGCGUGCCUAAUACAUGCAAGUCGAACGGAGAUUGUAGCAAUACGGUCUCAGUGGCGAACGGGUGAGUAACGCGUUGGUGACCUGCCCCGAAGUGUGGAAUAACAGAUCGAAAGAGCUGCCAAUACCGCAUAAUAUCCAGAGGACUAGAUGCCUUUGGAUUAAAGGAUUUAUUCGCUUCGGGAGGGGCCUGCGUCCCAUCAGCUAGUUGGUAAGGUAAAGGCUUACCAAGGCUAUGACGGGUAGGGGACCUGAGAGGGUGGCCCCCCACAAUGGAACUGAAACACGGUCCAUACACCUACGGGUGGCAGCAGUAGGGAAUAUUAGUAAUGGGCGAAAGCCUGAACUAGCAACGCCGCGUGUGCGAAGAAGGCCUUCGGGUUGUAAAGCACUUUUUGAGAGGAUGAGGAAGGACGGUACUCUCAGAAUAAGUCUCGGCUAACUACGUGCCAGCAGCCGCGGUAACACGUAGGAGGCGAACGUUAUCCGGAUUUACUGGGCGUAAAGCGCGUGUAGGUGGUUUGGUAAGUAGGGCGUGAAAGCUCCUGGCUCAACUGGGAGAGGCCGUUCUAAACUGCCGAACUAGAGGAUGGUAGAGGGAGGUGGAAUUCCGGGUGUAGCGGUGGAAUGCGCAGAUAUCCGGAGGAACACCAGUGGCGAAAGCGGCCUCCUGGACCACUCCUGACACUCAGACGCGAAAGCUAGGGUAGCAAACGGGAUUAGAGACCCCGGUAGUCCUAGCCCUAAACGAUGUAGACUUGGCGUCGGUGGUUUAAACGCCAUCGGUGUCGAAGCUAACGCGAUAAGUCUACCGCCUGGGGACUACGGCCGCAAGGUUAAAACUCAAAGGAAUUGACGG